rnacentral:rRNA from 1 species
GGAGCCGCAGCGAAAGCGAGUCUGAAUAGGGCGUUGAGUAUUUGGUCGUAGACCCGAAACCAGGUGAUCUACCCUUGGUCAGGUUGAAGUUCAGGUAACACUGAAUGGAGGACCGAACCGACUUACGUUGAAAAGUGAGCGGAUGAACUGAGGGUAGCGGAGAAAUUCCAAUCGAACUUGGAGAUAGCUGGUUCUCUCCGAAAUAGCUUUAGGGCUAGCCUCAAGUGAUGAUUAUUGGAGGUAGAGCACUGUUUGGACGAGGGGCCCCUCUCGGGUUACCGAAUUCAGACAAACUCCGAAUGCCAAUUAAUUUAACUUGGGAGUCAGAACAUGGGUGAUAAGGUCCGUGUUCGAAAGGGAAACAGCCCAGACCACCAGCUAAGGUCCCAAAAUAUAUGUUAAGUGGAAAAGGAUGUGGCGUUGCCCAGACAACUAGGAUGUUGGCUUAGAAGCAGCCAUCAUUUAAAGAGUGCGUAAUAGCUCACUAGUCGAGUGACACUGCGCCGAAAAUGUACCGGGGCUAAACAUAUUACCGAAGCUGUGGAUUGUCCUUUGGACAAUGGUAGGAGAGCGUUCUAAGGGCGUCGAAGCAUGAUCGCAAGGACAUGUGGAGCGCUUAGAAGUGAGAAUGCCGGUGUGAGUAGCGAAAGACGGGUGAGAAUCCCGUCCACCGAUUGACUAAGGUUUCCAGAGGAAGGCUCGUCCGCUCUGGGUUAGUCGGGUCCUAAGCUGAGGCCGACAGGCGUAGGCGAUGGAUAACAGGUUGAUAUUCCUGUACCACCUAGUAUCGUUUUAAUCGAUGGGGGGACGCAGUAGGAUAGGCGAAGCGUGCUGUUGGAGUGCACGUCCAAGCAGUAAGGCUGAGUGUUAGGCAAAUCCGGCACUCAUAAGGCUGAGCUGUGAUGGGGAGAGGAAAUUGUUUCCUCGAGUCGUUGAUUUCACACUGCCGAGAAAAGCCUCUAGAUAGAUAACAGGUGCCCGUACCGCAAACCGACACAGGUAGUCAAGAUGAGAAUUCUAAGGUGAGCGAGCGAACUCUCGUUAAGGAACUCGGCAAAAUGACCCCGUAACUUCGGGAGAAGGGGUGCUCUUUAGGGUUCACGCCCAGAAGAGCCGCAGUGAAUAGGCCCAAGCGACUGUUUAUCAAAAACACAGGUCUCUGCUAAACCGUAAGGUGAUGUAUAGGGGCUGACGCCUGCCCGGUGCUGGAAGGUUAAGAGGAGUGGUUAGCUUCUGCGAAGCUACGAAUCAAAGCCCCAGUAAACGGCGGCCGUAACUAUAACGGUCCUAAGGUAGCGAAAUUCCUUGUCGGGUAAGUUCCGACCCGCACGAAAGGCGUAACGAUUUGGGCACUGUCUCAACGAGAGACUCGGUGAAAUCAUAGUACCUGUGAAGAUGCAGGUUACCCGCGACAGGACGGAAAGACCCCGUGGAGCUUUACUGUAGCCUGAUAUUGAAAUUCGGCACAGCUUGUACAGGAUAGGUAGGAGCCUUUGAAACGUGAGCGCUAGCUUACGUGGAGGCGUUGGUGGGAUACUACCCUAGCUGUGUUGGCUUUCUAACCCGCACCACUUAUCGUGGUGGGAGACAGUGUCAGGCGGGCAGUUUGACUGGGGCGGUCGCCUCCUAAAAGGUAACGGAGGCGCUCAAAGGUUCCCUCAGAAUGGUUGGAAAUCAUUCAUAGAGUGUAAAGGCAUAAGGGAGCUUGACUGCGAGACCUACAAGUCGAGCAGGGUCGAAAGACGGACUUAGUGAUCCGGUGGUUCCGCAUGGAAGGGCCAUCGCUCAACGGAUAAAAGCUACCCCGGGGAUAACAGGCUUAUCUCCCCCAAGAGUUCACAUCGACGGGGAGGUUUGGCACCUCGAUGUCGGCUCAUCGCAUCCUGGGGCUGUAGUCGGUCCCAAGGGUUGGGCUGUUCGCCCAUUAAAGCGGUACGCGAGCUGGGUUCAGAACGUCGUGAGACAGUUCGGUCCCUAUCCGUCGUGGGCGUAGGAAAUUUGAGAGGAGCUGUCCUUAGUACGAGAGGACCGGGAUGGACAUACCUCUGGUGUACCAGUUGUCGUGCCAACGGCAUAGCUGGGUAGCUAUGUAUGGACGGGAUAAGUGCUGAAAGCAUCUAAGCAUGAAGCCCCCCUCAAGAUGAGAUUUCCCAACUUCGGUUAUAAGAUCCCUCGAAGAUGACGAGGUUAAUAGGUUCGAGGUGGAAGCGUGGUGACACGUGGAGCUGACGAAUACUAAUCGAUCGAAGACUUAAUCAA